rnacentral:rRNA from 1 species
CGGGCGGCACCAGCAGUCGAGGAUUUUUCUCAAUGGGGGCAACCCUGAAGGAGCGACGCCGCGUGGAGGAUGAAGGGCUUCGGCUCGUAAACUCCUGUCACCGACGAACAAGACAUCCGGAUUAAUAAAUCGGAUGUUUGAUGGUAGUCGGAGAGGAAGGGGCGGCUAACUCUGUGCCAGCAGCCGCGGUGAUACAGAGGCCCCAAGCGUUGUUCGGAUUUACUGGGCGUAAAGGGUGUGUAGGGGGUCGGGUAAGUUUGACGUGAAAUCCCGUUGCUCAACAACGGAACUGCGUCGAAUACUGCUCGGCUGGAGGUUCGGAGAUGAGGGCGGAAUUCUCGGUGUAGCGGUGAAAUGCGUAGAUAUCGAGAGGAACGCCGAUAGCGAAAGCAGCCCUCAAGACGAAAUCUGACCCUGAAACACGAAGGCCAGGGGAGCAAACGGGAUUAGAUACCCUUGUAGUC